UGGAAAGGCUCCUGAAGGUGUGUCCGCAGACAGGAUCGGCCCUGCGUGAAACGGGGAGAGUCCAAGGUAACUCCCAUAGGAAGGCGAUGAGGCGGCAGGUCUCGGGCUCCUGUUCGGGAAUACAUGGACAGCUGCAGCCCCUCCUGCGUGUCCACCUGCAUCUGGCCAGUGCCAUCUCUGUCAAGAGUUCUGAAGGCUCGGAAAACCGACCAGCCGGACCAGAGAGCUGAUGAAGCUGUCAACACCCACGUUUCCUCCCUCAUCUGAGUGGCUUCGGACGAUACAAGUAGACCCCUGAAUGCCUCAAAGGUCCCUGGGGAGUUCCCCGCUGCCCACGGUCCCUGAACCACCAAUGGUCAAAUUGUAUAUUUCCUGCCACUUCUGAACAUCGUUCCAUAAGUACUAGAAUUUCUCAAAGUCCAGCUUGCUGGUCGUGGCACCACUGAUCACGGCCACCAGGCUGUGACAGGUGUCAAUGCCCAAACGAUCAGUCUUCAGAUCAGGAUGUUGGGUUAUGAGUUGGUUGAGAAGGUCUGAGAGUUCUGUGGCAGUGAAUGCCCUGCGUCUACAGUCAGCUAGGCAAACAGCCUCGGAAACUGGCGGACUUGCUCACCACCUGGCCUGGAGGAUGGAGCGAAGCAUGCAAGGGGCCGGGUCUGGGCUGUACUGCGCAGGCGCCUCCCGGUCCCGCGCCGAUGACCCCGCCCAGGAAGCACGUGGCGGUCGGCCCACCGCUGCCGCCGCGUUCCCCCGACCCACGUCUCCUCCCAGUUCCACCUUCUCCGCCCUUGCCUCUGCCUCCCUGCCCCCCAGCCCCGCUUCUAACCAGCAUCGUGGCUGUGAGUGAAGAUUUCCCCACGCUCACAAGUCCGCUGGUCCAAUCACCUCAGCAUCAUCUCCAGGUGUUGGACUUUGUAGGAAGGCUGCUUGAGAAACUCUAAAGGAAAUUAAGCAACAAAUUCCAGUUAUCUCCAGCAAAAAGAAGAAAGAAUUUAAAGAUACACAGAUUUUGAUCAUUUGACUACUUGGUAACGUUCCACCAAACGUACUUAAUGGAGAAGAGAUGAAAAGGCAACUAGUCUUGAUUCGCCAGGUCCUGGCCACAGAAAUCACCUACUCCAGUAUUCUGGCCUGAAGAAUUUCAUGGACUAAGGAACCUGGCAGGCUACAGUCCAUGGGGUUGCAAAGAGUCGGACACUACUAGGUGACUGUCACUUUCCCUUUCAAGAAUAUUGAUGGGCAGAGUCUCAGUCUUUCACACCUGGAACACAGUAGGAAUUGUUGGCUUUAGGAUGAAUGGAUUGUGUUUCUUGGUUUCCUGAGGUAAAUAAAUGUAACAUGCAGCAUAAACCGAAAACUCAGCUUUAGUACAAAACUGAUACAGUCCCUGCUAAGGGAUUAAAACUCAUGGAGUUUAUGAUGGAAACUUGCUGUAAGUAGGUGCCAGGCACUGUGCUGUAUAAGGGAUGCAAAGA